UGUGUGGAAUGUAGAUGGUAAUGGCUUUCUUAUCUUCAGUCCUUUUGAUAUGAUGUCCAUCUGUUUGCAUUUAGAGAGGAAGAUGAUGUCUGUCUGUAUGUGUAUGAGUUUUUUCAUGAAGUUGAUAGAUUUCCACUCUUUAUGGCUAAAUUCAGUGCCUUGCAUAAUG